CAUUGGAAAGGUUCCUAUAAUGCUGCGUUCAAGUUACUGCACAUUAUAUCAAAAUUCUGAGAAAGAUCUAACAGAGCUUGGAGAAUGUCCAUUAGAUCAAGGCGGUUAUUUCAUUAUAAAUGGAAGUGAAAAGGUCUUAAUUGCUCAGGAGAAGAUGAGCACGAACCACGUGUACGUCUUUAAGAAGAGGCAACCUAACAAAUAUGCCUUCGUUGCGGAAGUCAGGUCAAUGGCAGACACUCAAAAUCGCCCACCAAGUACUAUGUUCGUGAGGAUGCUCUCAAGGACUAGUGCAAAAGGGGGUUCCUCGGGCCAAUACAUUCGGGCAACACUUCCGUAUAUCCGUACAGAGAUUCCUAUUAUUAUCGUGUUUCGAGCUCUAGGUUUUGUUGCUGAUAAGGAUAUAUUGGAACAUAUUUGUUAUGAUUUCAAUGAUACUCAAAUGAUGGAGUUGUUACGUCCGUCGUUGGAAGAAGCUUUUGUUAUUCAAAACCAACAGGUUGCUCUCGACUACAUCGGAAAAAGAGGGGCUACAGUUGGUGUUACAAGGGAAAAGAGGAUUAAGUACGCCAAAGAGAUUCUUCAGAAAGAAAUGCUUCCUCAUGUUGGGGUUGGAGAGUAUUGUGAAACAAAGAAGGCUUAUUAUUUUGGGUAUAUCAUCCACCGGCUUCUGUUAUGUGCGCUUGGCCGCAGGGCUGAGGAUGAUAGGGAUCAUUACGGAAAUAAGAGACUGGAUCUUGCCGGUCCUUUGCUUGGUGGGCUGUUUCGGAUGCUCUUUAGAAAGUUGACAAGGGAUGUUAGAGGCUAUGUGCAAAAGUGUGUUGACAAUGGAAAAGAUGUAAAUCUCCAAUUUGCAAUCAAAGCUAAGACCAUUACUAGUGGGCUGAAAUACUCUCUUGCUACUGGAAACUGGGGGCAAGCUAAUGCAGCUGGUACAAGAGCUGGUGUUUCGCAGGUGCUGAAUCGUCUGACUUAUGCCUCUACUUUGUCUCACUUGCGACGGUUGAAUUCCCCUAUUGGACGAGAAGGGAAACUGGCCAAACCAAGGCAAUUGCAUAAUUCACAAUGGGGAAUG
rnacentral:misc_RNA from 1 species